rnacentral:tRNA from 1 species
GCCGGUGGAUGGCCAGAACCGAUGUUCUACGGACUUAAAAUCCGCUGCCCGCAAGGGCGUGUGGGUUCGAAUCCCACCCCCGGCACCA